rnacentral:rRNA from 1 species
UACGGAGGGUGCAAGCGUUAAUCGGAAUUACUGGGCGUAAAGCGCACGCAGGCGGUUUGUUAAGUCAGAUGUGAAAUCCCAGGGCUCAACCUGGGAACUGCAUCAGAAACUGGCAAGCUUGAGUUUUGUAGAGGGGGGUAGAAUUCCUAGUGUAGCGGUGAAAUGCGUAGAUAUCUGGAGGAAUACCGGUGGCGAAGGCG